AGUUUUUCUCAGUGGCAUGUUGUAGUCAGUGAGGUUUAUCUGAGGUAUGAUUAUUGCUAAUUGAAAACUUUUCCCAAUCCCCCACCAUGAUGACUCGAAAUAUAAUUGUCAUUAGCAAUUUUUGACAGUCUGCAUGGAGA
ensembl:snRNA U4 U4 spliceosomal RNA